AGUGAACGCUGGCGGUAGGCCUAACACAUGCAAGUCGAACGGCAGCACAGUAAGAGCUUGCUCUUACGGGUGGCGAGUGGCGGACGGGUGAGGAAUACAUCGGAAUCUACUUUUUCGUGGGGGAUAACGUAGGGAAACUUACGCUAAUACCGCAUACGACCUACGGGUGAAAGCAGGGGAUCUUCGGACCUUGCGCGAUUGAAUGAGCCGAUGUCGGAUUAGCUAGUUGGCGGGGUAAAGGCCCACCAAGGCGACGAUCCGUAGCUGGUCUGAGAGGAUGAUCAGCCACACUGGAACUGAGACACGGUCCAGACUCCUACGUGAGGCAGCAGUGGGGAAUAUUGGACAAUGGGCGCAAGCCUGAUCCAGCCAUACCGCGUGGGUGAAGAAGGCCUUCGGGUUGUAAAGCCCUUUUGUUGGGUAAGAAAAGCAGCAGGUUAAUACCCCGCUGUUCUGACGGUACCCAAAGAAUAAGCACCGGCUAACUUCGUG
rnacentral:rRNA from 1 species